rnacentral:rRNA from 1 species
AGCUACGGCCACACCGCCUGGUUCAUGCCCCGACCUCGUUUGAUCUCGGAAGCUAAGAUAGGUUGGGCCUGGUUAGUACUUGGAUGGGAGACCGCCUGGGAAUACCAGGUGCUGUAAGGC